ensembl:lncRNA
CAUGCGCAGCUAGAACGCUAACACAAGCAGACGAGUGAAAAACGAGCUGAGAAAACGAGUCAACUAUAGAGAGGCAGUUAUUAAACUAUAUAAAAACUGAGUGGAGUUGAAGGGAAACUAACCCGAAGUGAGAGAGAGGGAAUUGAUGACUGAGCACCGGGAGUUUUAUUGUUUUCGGCCGAGUCUUGAGAGAAGAACGCACCCUAACGCGGGGAUUGCUCAGAAGCCUAGAGAGGCAGUCCGCGACUGAAGAGGAUUGUCCUCUUCUAGAGACAAGAGCUGCGGGGGAGAAGGAAGUUCG